rnacentral:rRNA from 1 species
UACGGAGGGGACUAGCGUUGUUCGGAAUUACUGGGCGUAAAGCGCACGUAGGCGGAUUUGUAAGUCAGGGGUGAAAUCCCGGGGCUCAACCUCGGAACUGCCUUUGAUACUGCAAAUCUCGAGUCCGGAAGAGGUGAGUGGAAUUCCUAGUGUAGAGGUGAAAUUCGUAGAUAUUAGGAAGAACACCAGUGGCGAAGGCGGCUCACUGGUCCGGUACUGACGCUCAUGCACGAAAGCGUGGGGAGCAAACAGG